rnacentral:rRNA from 1 species
AGAGUUUGAUCCUGGCUCAGAUUGAACGCUGGCGGCAGGCCUAACACAUGCAAGUCGAGCGGAUGAAGGGAGCUUGCUCCUGGAUUCAGCGGCGGACGGGUGAGUAAUGCCUAGGAAUCUGCCUGGUAGUGGGGGAUAACGUCCGGAAGCGGGCGCUAAUACCGCAUACGUCCUGAGGGAGAAAGUGGGGGAUCUUCGGACCUCACGCUAUCAGAUGAGCCUAGGUCGGAUUAGCUAGUUGGUGGGGUAAAGGCCUACCAAGGCGACGAUCCGUAACUGGUCUGAGAGGAUGAUCAGUCACACUGGAACUGAGACACGGUCCAGACUCCUACGGGAGGCAGCAGUGGGGAAUAUUGGACAAUGGGCGAAAGCCUGAUCCAGCCAUGCCGCGUGUGUGAAGAAGGUCUUCGGAUUGUAAAGCACUUUAAGUUGGGAGGAAGGGCAGUAAGUUAAUACCUUGCUGUUUUGACGUUACCAACAGAAUAAGCACCGGCUAACUUCGCGCCAGCAGCCGCGGUAAUACGAAGGGUGCAAGCGUUAAUCGGAAUUACUGGGCGUAAAGCGCGCGUAGGUGGUUCAGCAAGUUGGAUGUGAAAUCCCCGGGCUCAACCUGGGAACUGCAUCCAAAACUACUGAGCUAGAGUACGGUAGAGGGUGGUGGAAUUUCCUGUGUAGCGGUGAAAUGCGUAGAUAUAGGAAGGAACACCAGUGGCGAAGGCGACCACCUGGACUGAUACUGACACUGAGGUGCGAAAGCGUGGGGAGCAAACAGGAUUAGAUACCCUGGUAGUCCAA